rnacentral:rRNA from 1 species
UACGAAGGGGACUAGCGUUGUUCGGAAUCACUGGGCGUAAAGCGCACGUAGGCGGAUUGUUAAGUCGGGGGUGAAAUCCUGGAGCUCAACUCCAGAACUGCCUUCGAUACUGGCGAUCUCGAGUUCGGGAGAGGUGAGUGGAACUGCGAGUGUAGAGGUGAAAUUCGUAGAUAUUCGCAAGAACACCAGUGGCGAAGGCGGCUCACUGGCCCGAUACUGACGCUGAGGUGCGAAAGCGUGGGGAGCAAACAGG